rnacentral:lncRNA from 1 species
GUGUGUUCACCUCUACAAUAGAGACCGGAGGAAGAUAACGUUCAAAGUGACACUAAUAGAGAGAAAGAUGUAAUGGAUUUAAAGAGUGCUCUUACGAUCGAUGUUCUUCGUCGGGGUUUUCGUGAAUCCAAACACCUCGAGAUCCUUCAAAACUAAAGCGAACGGCGAGAGUCGCGGCCCAGGCAGGCGGCAGACGGAUGACAGGUGAAACCGGUGCGUGUAGCCUGUCGGUGUUGACACUUUGCCGCGUUUUACCGCGGAGAGGGAAUCUGCGGGAAGCGAGGCGCGUGUAACGUGCGUAACGUGUGUCUUUCCGUCAUUCUGAGAGGGCAGGUGUGGCGAAGUGAAGGAGAGUCCGCGGGUGUUCCAGUCUUCGGGAGUUCGCGCUCCGAGUCGUCUCCGAAAUAACAAGCAUUGUGUAAAUGUCAGUGUAAAUGUUCAAAUUGGGACGUGAUCCACCGAGGAAAACACACACAUUCCCACACCCCAUGCAGGAGAUGUUUAUCUGAGUGUGUUGGGGACACACGCGGUUUUCUUAGGUAGGUGUGGUUCAAUGUGCGCGCAGAUGCGUGUGCGUGUGUGUGCGUGUGUGUGCGUGUGUGUGGUUGCCUGGGAGAGUGUGGGCGAAUGUGUGUGUGUGUGUGUGUGUGUGUGUGCGCGUGUGUGUGUGUGGGCGGCUUGCCGGCUCUCUAACAUUAUUUAAUUAUGCUUCUUUUCACAGCAAAUGGGCCUCCUAGUAUUAGUACAACAGCGCAUAGUCUGCUUCCUCUGGAGUUUAAAUCAGGUCUCCACAAGGCAAAUAGAGUGAUACUCCGAGGGGGUGGGGGUGAGGGGGGGCCUUAUAUAACAGUGACUUAGAGCCUCCUGCCAGUUACAAGAAAGCAGCACUGAUGUGCAGAGAACAAGAUAUUUUGCUGAUUGCGGGAAGAUAGUGAAGGUUGAAUGCAGGACAUUGAAAGUCUGUACAUGUUUUUUUCCAUCUGCUCCAAGGGACAGAUAUGAAAAUAAUGUGCUGCUAGAUGGAGACGGGAAUAAGCCAACCUGCACGCUCAAGCAAAAUAUGAACCCGGGCCUGCCUGCCUUCUGCCUGCGUGAACGCGGCGUUGCGGCUACCCGUUGUCGGCGCUUUGGCGCGCACCCCUUGCCGCUCAGCCGACUUGUGUCGAGGGUCAAAACACAAACCAGGGUUCUUUUGCACGGCCAUGCCUCCUCACAGCAGGCACCUGACGAUCCAGGGACCCUCGCCAGCCAAUUUACAUAAAGCGGGCUCCGUGUCUGACGUUGACUUGGCGACACAUGCAAACAGCGACUUAUCUUGAAAUGGAAAUCAGAGCCCUAAUGCAGGGAACCCGGGACGUGCUGCACCGGCUAAUGCUGACAGAGAUGAGUUUUUCCGCUCGUUGCGGUGAGCGAUGCUGCUGGGAGCUCUGCUUGAGUCGAGAGUCAGGUCAAUAAUCAGAGUGCACUGCAGCCAUUGCUCCAAAGCCACACUGAUCAAGAGCGCCGAAGCACCGAGGCUUCAUUUCCUUCAUUUCAGCACCAACUUGUGUCCUUAAUGAUGAGCGAAAGAAAUCAAAACAUUUUUCUGGUAUAUAACUGGGUAAUAGAACUGACUAAGUGUAGCAUGCUUUCUUAAUGAAAAAGAGCUGUUAUAUAACAAUAAUACUGUUAUAACUGAUGUAAUUAAUGAGCUUUGGCUGAUUAACUCUGUAUUUACACAAAACAUUAUGCAAUUGGUUGCAUAUUCAUACUGCAUGUGGCAAAAAGACAUUAUCAAAGGCUAAAUAAAAGCUGGU